UCCAGUGCAAUGGAGGCAGCCGCAACGGGAAUUGCUCGCUACAGGAAGGCGGCUGGUAUGACUCGGGCUCCACUGACACAAACAGGGAGGGGCUGGUUGCCAUGGUCCCUGCAGCCGGAUGAGUGAUGUCACGUCCAGUGCAAUGGAGGCAGCUGCAACGGGAAUUGCUCGCUACAGGAAGGCGGCUGGUGAGACUCGGGCUCCACUGACACAAACAGGGAGGGGGUUUCUCUACACACUUUGGAUCAGGAACGGAAUCAGCACCUAAUAUGUCAUACAGUAAUUAAACAGAUAAUAAUAUUUACAGAGGGUAAAAGACAAACAUUAAAAAA